UACGUAGGGGGCAAGCGUUGUCCGGAAUCAUUGGGCGUAAAGCGUGCGUAGGCGGUUUGUUAAGUCCGAUGUGAAAGCCCUGGGCUCAACCUGGGAAUGGCAUUGGAUACUGGCAGGCUAGAGUGCGGUAGAGGGCAGUGGAAUUCCCGGUGUAGCAGUGAAAUGCGUAGAGAUCGGGAGGAACAUCUGUGGCGAAGGCGACUGCCUGGACCAGCACUGACACUGAGGCACGAAAGCGUGGGGAGCAAACAGG
rnacentral:rRNA from 1 species